rnacentral:rRNA from 1 species
GUGGGGAAUUUUGGACAAUGGGCGCAAGCCUGAUCCAGCAAUGCCGCGUGUGUGAAGAAGGCCUUCGGGUUGUAAAGCACUUUUGUCCGGAAAGAAAUGGCCUGGGUUAAUACCCCGGGUCGAUGACGGUACCGGAAGAAUAAGCACCGGCUAACUACGUGCCAGCAGCCGCGGUAAUACGUAGGGUGCGAGCGUUAAUCGGAAUUACUGGGCGUAAAGCGUGCGCAGGCGGCGAUGCAAGACAGAUGUGAAAUCCCCGGGCUCAACCUGGGAACUGCAUUUGUGACUGCAUGGCUAGAGUGCGUCAGAGGAGGGUGGAAUUCCGCGUGUAGCAGUGAAAUGCGUAGAGAUGCGGAGGAACACCGAUGGCGAAGGCAGCCCCCUGGGAUGACACUGACGCUCAUGCACGAAAGCGUGGGGAGCAAACAGGAUUAGAAACCCUAGUAGUCC